rnacentral:rRNA from 1 species
CGAACGCUGGCGGCGUGCCUAAUACAUGCAAGUAGAACGCUGAAGAGAGGAGCUUGCUCUUCUUGGAUGAGUUGCGAACGGGUGAGUAACGCGUAGGUAACCUGCCUUGUAGCGGGGGAUAACUAUUGGAAACGAUAGCUAAUACCGCAUAACAAUGGAUGACACAUGUCAUUUAUUUGAAAGGGGCAAUUGUUCCACUACAAGAUGGACCUGCGUUGUAUUAGCUAGUAGGUGAGGUAAUGGCUCACCUAGGCGACGAUACAUAGCCGACCUGAGAGGGUGAUCGGCCACACUGGGACUGAGACACGGCCCAGACUCCUACGGGAGGCAGCAGUAGGGAAUCUUCGGCAAUGGGGGCAACCCUGACCGAGCAACGCCGCGUGAGUGAAGAAGGUUUUCGGAUCGUAAAGCUCUGUUGUAAGUCAAGAACGGGUGUGAGAGUGGAAAGUUCACACUGUGACGGUAGCUUACCAGAAAGGGACGGCUAACUACGUG